GACGAACGCUGGCGGCGUGCUUAACACAUGCAAGUCGAACGGUGACGAGGAGCUUGCUCCUCUGAUCAGUGGCGAACGGGUGAGUAACACGUGAGCAACCUGCCCCAGACUCUGGGAUAACAGUUGGAAACAGCUGCUAAUACCGGAUACGAGACGGAGAGGCAUCUCUACCGUCUGGAAAGUUUUCGGUCUGGGAUGGACUCGCGGCCUAUCAGCUAGUUGGUGAGGUAAUGGCUCACCAAGGCGACGACGGGUAGCCGGCCUGAGAGGGCGACCGGCCACACUGGGACUGAGACACGGCCCAGACUCCUACGGGAGGCAGCAGUUGGGAAUCUUAGGCAAUGGACGAAAGUCUGACCUAGCGACGCCGCGUGAGGGAAGAAGGCCUUCGGGUUGUAAACCUCUGUCAUGGGGGAAGAAGUAAGUGACGGUACCCCAAGAGGAAGCCCCUGCUAACUACGUG
rnacentral:rRNA from 1 species